CUUCGGCCCGAGUUGUAAUUUGCAGAGGAUGUUUAUGGUGCGGUACCUUCCGAGUUCCCUGGAACGGGACGCCACAGAGGGUGAGAGCCCCGUCUGGUUGGAUACCAAACCUGUGUUAAACUCCUUCAACGAGUCGAGUAGUUUGGGAAUGCUGCUCUAAAUGGGAGGUAAAUCUCUUCUAAAGCUAAAUACCGGCCAGAGACCGAUAGCGCACAAGUAGAGUGAUCGAAAGAUGAAAAGCACCUUGAAAAGGGGGUUAAACAGUACGUGAAAUUGUUGAAAGGGAAGCGUUUAUGACCAGACUUGUGUCGUGUGGCUCAUCCGAGGUUCUCCCCGGUGCACUCCACGCGGCUCAGGCCAACAUCGGUUGUCGUUGGGGGAUAAGAACAGUAGGAACGUGGCCCCUCUCGGGGGGUGUUAUAGCCUAUUGUACGAUACCCUGAUGGCGACCGAGGACCGCGCUUCGGCUAGGAUGUUGGCGUAAUGGUCAUUAGCGACCCGUCUUGAAACACGGACCAAGGAGUCGUCCAUUAGAGCGAGCGUUUGGGUGUAAAACCCGCACGCGUAAUGAAAGUGAAAUUAGGUGAGAGCUUCGGCGCAUCAUCGACCGAUCCUGAAGUUUACGGAUGGAUUUGAGUAAGAGUUUUAACGGACGGACCCGAAAGACAGUGAACUAUGCUUGAAUAGGGUGAAGCCAGAGGAAACUCUGGUGGAGGCUCGCAGCGGUUCUGACGUGCAAAUCGAUCGUCAAAUUUGAGCAUGGGGGCGAAAGACU
rnacentral:rRNA from 1 species